AUUCCUACGGGAGGCAGCAGUGGGGAAUAUUGCACAAUGGGCGCAAGCCCGAUGCAGCCAUGCCGCGUGUGUGAAGAAGGCCUUCGGGUUGUAAAGCACUUUCAGCGAGGAGGAAAGGUUGGUAGCUAAUAACUGCCAGCUGUGACGUUACUCGCAGAAGAAGCACCGGCUAACUCCGUGCCAGCAGCCGCGGUAAUAAU
rnacentral:rRNA from 1 species